GAGAAUCCUCUUCCAUGUUCUGGCGGCUGCAGCUUCCUUGGCCUGUGGCCACAUCACUCCAGUCCCCGGGGCCAGCAUCAUCAAGUCUCUGCUCCGAUUUUAAAUCGUCUUCUCUGUGUGUGUCAAGUCACCCUCUGCUUCCCUCUCAUAAGGAUACGUGUGACUGCACUCGGGGCCCACCCGGUAACGUAAGACAACCGCCCCAUCUGAAGAUCCUUAACUUAAUACCCUCUGCAACGGCCCCCUUUUCGCCAUAGAAGGUAACAUUCACAGGUUCCGGAGAUUGAGACGUGAAUAUCUUUGGGGGGAUCGUUUUUUUUAGCUAACCAAAGUUGGCAAAUAUGCUAAUAAUUGGAGUUCUCAGAAAAAGAAAGGCCUCCUGGCUCUGCCCCCGGGAGGCUCCGCCCCUGGCCCUGCCCUCGGGAGGCUCCGCCCCUGGCCCUGCCCUCGGGAGGCUCCGCCCCUGGCCCUGCCCUCGGGAGCCCCCGCUCAUGCGCACCCUCCAAACAACGCAGCUUCCGGGAGAACCAGCUCCAAAGUACUUAGGCCAGGCUCAGAGGAAGGGGAGGUUUGGGAAGAAAGCAGCAAGGAACCCUAGUGAAGGCCCUAGGGCCAAAGAGCCUAAGGAUGGGUCUUCUAAGGAGAAGAAUUGAAAGGUAAAUCACUCGCAGCCACGGAAACUCCGAGGGGCAACGUCCAGUCUCAUUCGGAGGAUGGAAAGUAAAAUAACGGCUUCCUGAAAGAAGAUGGAAAGACAAGACUUGAAAACAGAUGCCCUUAGAUAAGGAAACACACAAGCAGGGGAAUUCUUUUACAUGAACAAAGCCGAAACGCCACGUUAUGAAGCCAUCGGUGCGGGACUUUGCAGAUGUGAUGAAGAAUCUUGAGAUGGGAAGAUCGUGCUGGGUUAUCCAGGUGGGCCAAAUGGCAUCACAAGAGUCUUUAUAAAAGGGAGUCAGAAGGGUAGAAAACACAGUAGGAGGAGAUGUGACACAGAAACAAGAGAUUGGAGUGAUUCAAGAAGGGCCACAAGCUCAAGAGUGCAAAUGGCCUCAGCUAAAAAAGGUAAGGAUCUAAAUUCUCUACUGAAGCCUCCAGAAAGAACAUACCCCUGUUGACAUUUUGAUUUUAGACUUCUAACCCCCAAAACCCAUAUUUGUGUUGUUUUAAGCCACUGAUUUUGUGCUAAUUAGUUACAGCAGCAACAGGAAACUAACACAGCCUGGAAUCAUGGGACGUCCUCCUUCCUCACCCUGCGUGGACCUGGGACCGGCACUUCUGGUAGACAGCCAGAACUGCAGCUCAUUGUCACCCAGCAUGUAACUUGAGUUCGAGCAAACUCCACUCCCUUGUGUGUAUCUUGCAUUUAUACUCUUUCCGUAAGUGAAGGUUUGAUUGAGUUGGUUCAUCACUAUCCAAUAGGCAGGAUUCCUAUCGCACGGUCAUGCUAAUGGCGCACACCCGGGGGUGUGGCUUCCCGCUUGUCCAAUCAGCUGUGUCCAGGGCAACAAGACUGCUGUCAAUCAACUCAAAGUGAGGAAAAUGUUACUGAGGAAAGAAUGGGUCUGGGCUAUUUGUGGGAGUCACUUGAGGACACCUCCCAGGUGACACAGAAGUUUAGAAAGCAAUCUUGAGGUUUUAAGAGAAGAAAGGCCCUUUCUGACCUCUUUACACAAACUUUAAUACGGCAGCUUGAAUUGUCAGAAGCUUUAGAGCUACAGACCUGGGGCUCCUUUCUAUGGGGUCCUUUGAUCCCGGCCCACCGUCCCCUAAUGCCAGCUCUGAUGGUAGUCCUCCGCAUGUCAAAGGUGACCAUUCCUCCUGCAUCACCCACCUUGACCUUGGCCCUGCAGAUUGGUUUGAAGGAGGGCACAGUCUCACUGCUUGCCCAGAAGCAGUAUUUUUAGGAGUUUAAAGAGAAGAAAAAUCUGUUGAAGGCAAUUUCAGGUUCUAGGCUUUAUAAAAAGAGAUGCAGUGAAAAUCUGGAAAUCAGGAUGGCUUAAGAAGUCAAAGACAUUUGAAUUACUGCCUUUGGGACUGGAAGAAACCCAAACAAUUAGAGGUGCAAAGGCACAGGAUUCACGGCUUGAUCGGUGUUGAUAUAUCCCUCAAAACAGGUCUCCAGGCCCACUGGAGCCUGACCUCAUUUAAAACUGCUGGAAAAAUGCAUGUAAUAAGCUCAGUCUGAAGGCUCCCUGACAAUUCAGUUUGGAUCAAGGCUCUUUCCUAUAAGGGUUUGUUGUAUUUAUUACCAUUAUUUUUUAGUUAUUUAUGUUUUCCUGUUAUAAUAUGCUACCUUUUAAAAAACAAUUAAGAAUCUCAGACCAGACUAUCUAGAAAUAAACUGGCGCUUUUCUAUGGUGUUUGUUAAAAGGCAAGGAUUUUGUUUUUUACUCAUUAUUCCGUCUUGUUAUGGAUUUUCAAUGACUUGUCUCAAAAUUGUUCUGUCACCUUAACCUGAAUCCUCAAUUAAGUUUCCCAGUCACUACUAUUAAAUAAAAAGCUUUAAAGUA